UAGUAUAUUAUAUUGGGCUAUGUUUUUUUUUUGUAUGGUGAAAACUAUGUUCAAUUUACAAACUAUAUUUUAGUUUAUCAAAAUAUAUUUUUAUUGAUGUGUUUUGCCUCUGAUUCUUUCUUUUUCAGAUGUGCACUUGUGUCUUAGGCUUAUGCUUUGCAUAAGGUUCACCAUCGCCCUUAAGUUGCUGUGGGUUUUACGGUUUUACUUCCAACCUGGCAUAUAAAUGCACUUAGUAUCUGAAGUUAUUUGUCAAUAACUGGUGAUCAGACUAUUUCAAACGAAAACGUUUUCAAGGGCUGAGAAGGUGAAAGAUAGAAGUCUGCAGACUGCAACGUAAAUCAAUUUUCAACACAUGGUUUCCUGAAUAUAUUUAGUUUUCGAUUGAAAUGAGAAUAAACUGAACUUAUAGAUAUGCUGAAAAUUAACUAUUUUAUAUUUUAAACAUUCGCUAAACGCAAGUGAAGCAAUAAUCUAUAGAUGCAAUUAUA
rnacentral:lncRNA from 1 species